GUUUAACUUUGGUGGGACGUAUACUAAAAUUGGAACAAUACAGAGAAGGUUAGCAUGGCUCCUACGCAAGGUUGAUAUACAAAUUCCUGAAGCAUUCCAUAUUUUU